CCAGCAAGCGCGAGUGCGCAAACUCCGCCUCGCGUUCGGUCCCGCCCCCGGCCUUCCAGAGACUGCCGCUCCCGACAGUUGGGCUCGAGCGCGGCCUCCCGGCUGGCCGCAAACGCUGCACCCGGUCACUGCGCAGGCGCGGGGCGUGCACUUCCCGCUUCCUCCGCGCGGAACCUGGCCCCCUCCGCCGCUCUGUUCUUGUCAGCCGAGGACACUUACACCUCGAAGAUUCGGGCGCGCAGACACUGCUCCACACACCGGGGAACGCAUCGAGGACGCGGGCUCGGCGCGCCAUUGUGCACAAAGCCAGUCCCCUUGCAAACACACCUGUCCAGGUACACACGCCAGGUGGGCUUCACCUGGACACAGGCGGGUACUAUCAUGCCUUAUCAUCUCUCACACAAGAACGCACACACUGAACACCCAAAAAACAUCCAGAGACCCUGGGGCCGCCGGCCCCUCCGCGAACAGAGACACGUUCAGUUGGCCAACAAUGGGGAUGAACUGGUGUGUGCCUUCGGGAGCCUGGGCUCUGGAAAGAGGGGCAGGUAAUAAGCGAACACUAAGACGCGCGAAGCGCUGUGAAGUGACGCCGCUGGGGGACGGGGACGGAAGGAGGUGCGAUCGGACUCAGGGAAGAAGCUGGGAGAGGAGCUGCGUUCUGCACGGGGACACUGGCACCCGCACGGCCGCGGAGGCUGAAACCCUCUGGGCAUGUUUGCCGACCAAGAAAAGGGAGUGGCGUCGCAGCAGCUCCGGAAGUGAGAAGGGCGAUCUGGGAAGGAAGCGGUCCGCAGCACUGUACCCAGGGCCUCGCAAGUGUCUUCAUCUUGCCGCAGGGAUAAGAAGACGCGUCUGUCCUACCAGACCAUCCCCAGGCCUUCACGGCGGCAGGCACACCAUGGCCUGCGGGUCUCCAGGGAGAAUGACUCAAGUCCACAGACAAUCAGCAAGCCUCCAGGAUGGAGGGACACCUGCAGGAUGGCGGCCCACAGCCACUGCGCCAUCUAGCUCAUGGCAGAGAGACCACGUAUUUGGACAUCAGUUGCCCAAACCGUCAUCUGUAAAACAGGUGUGA
rnacentral:lncRNA from 1 species